GACGGAGGAUGCAAGCGUUGUCCGGAAUGAUUGGGCGUAAAGCGCCCGCAGGUGGCAGUUCAAGUCUGCUGUCAAAGACCGGGGCUUAACUUCGGAAAGGCAGUGGAAACUGAACAGCUAGAGUAUGGUAGGGGCAGAGGGAAUUCCUGGUGUAGCGGUGAAAUGCGUAGAGAUCAGGAAGAACAUCGGUGGCGAAGGCGCUCUGCUGGCCCAUAACUGACACUCAGGGACGAAAGCUAGGGGAGCGAAUGGG
rnacentral:rRNA from 1 species